ensembl:snoRNA
CCUUCUUUAUUUGGAAGGGACUGGCUCUGUGGUCCUGCUCCCCAUUAUGUACAGAGGCAGAGGGAAAGGGCUGUGGCCCUCCCGGCAUCAUGGCUUCGGUCCCGGCAGCUUCCUGUCCAACGGUUCUAUCCUCAAAUGCCAGGACAAUG